UACGGAGGGGGCAAGCGUUGUUCGGAAUUAUUGGGCGUAAAGGGCAUGUAGGCGGUUCGGUAAGUUAAAGGUGAAAUGCCAGGGCUUAACCCUGGAGCUGCUUUUAAUACUGCCAGACUAGAGUCCGGGAGAGGAUAGCGGAAUUCCUAGUGUAGAGGUGAAAUUCGUAGAUAUUAGGAGGAACACCAGUGGCGAAGGCGGCUAUCUGGUCCGGUACUGACGCUGAGGUGCGAAAGCGUGGGGAGCAAACA
rnacentral:rRNA from 1 species